UUUGCGGAGUCAGAUAGUGUACCUGCCUCCGGAGCAGGUAGCCGCAGGUUCAAAUCCUGCA
rnacentral:tRNA from 1 species